CAUCACUACGCUAGAUGCAUAUCAAUAAGCGGAGGAAAAGAAACUAACAAGGAUUCCCCUAGUAACGGCGAGUGAAGCGGGAAGAGCUCAAAUUUGAAAUCUUCAAGGGUUUCCCUUUACGAAUUGUAGUUUAAAGAAGUGUUUUCUGUUAGAGAGUUCGGUAAAAGUUCUUUGGAAUAGGACAUCAUAGAGGGUGAGAAUCCCGUAUUUGACGUCACUUUCUACUAGCUGUUGUGAUACACUUUCAAAGAGUCGGAUUGUUUGGGAAUGCAGUCCAAAAUGGGUGGUAAAUUUCAUCUAAAGCUAAAUAUUGGCGAGAGACCGAUAGCGAACAAGUACCGUGAGGGAAAGAUGAAAAGAACUUUGAAAAGAGAGUUAAACAGUACGUGAAAUUGUCAAAAGGGAAGCGUUUGACACCAGUGUUGUUUUCUCGAAAAUCAAUUAAAAUGGCCGGAUUUUAGUGUGUCAUGACCUUAUAAGCUUUUCUGCAUUUUUUCUUAUCUUUCUUAAUGCACUUUUCGUUAACAAGUCAACAUCAAUUUCUUUUGUUGUAAAAGAGUUAAUAGGAAGGUGGCUUUACUUUCGGAGUAAAGUGUUUAUAGCCUUUAGCUCUGCAAUCGGAGAGAUUGAGGUCUGCAGCGUAGAUCCUUCGGGGCUAGAUACAUUUGUGCUAAGUUAUAGCCUUUCAUAGACAACUUGUUGACUAUGAUUAGUCAUUGUAGCUUACUCGCUAUGCCUAUUUUACCUACGCUUAGGAUGUUGACACACGCGCGUGCUCG
rnacentral:rRNA from 1 species